UCUAGUGGCGCACGGGUGCGUAACGCGUGGGAAUCUGCCCUUGGGUUCGGAAUAACUCGCCGAAAGGCGUGCUAAUACCGGAUGAUGUCGUAAGACCAAAGAUUUAUCGCCCAAGGAUGAGCCCGCGUAAGAUUAGGUAGUUGGUGAGGUAAAGGCUCACCAAGCCGACGAUCUUUAGCUGGUCUGAGAGGAUGAUCAGCCACACUGGGACUGAGACACGGCCCAGACUCCUACGGGAGGCAGCAGUGGGGAAUAUUGGACAAUGGGCGAAAGCCUGAUCCAGCAAUGCCGCGUGAGUGAUGAAGGCCUUAGGGUUGUAAAGCUCUUUUACCCGGGAUGAUAAUGACAGUACCGGGAGAAUAAGCUCCGGCUAACUCCGUGCCAGCAGCCGCGGUAAUACGGAGGGAGCUAGCGUUGUUCGGAAUUACUGGGCGUAAAGCGCACGUAC
rnacentral:rRNA from 1 species